rnacentral:rRNA from 1 species
CGGGUAGAUCUCCCACCCUUGAAUACUUAUACCUUUGUUGCUUUGGCGGGCCGCUUCGGCUACCGGCUUCGGCUGGUGAGUGCCCGCCAGAGGACCCAAAACUCUGAAUUAUAGUGUCGUCUGAGUACUAUAUAAUAGUUAAAACUUUCAACAACGGAUCUCUUGGUUCUGGCAUCGAUGAAGAACGCAGCGAAAUGCGAUAAGUAAUGUGAAUUGCAGAAUUCAGUGAAUCAUCGAAUCUUUGAACGCACAUUGCGCCCCUUGGUAUUCCGAGGGGCAUGCCUGUUCGAGCGUCAUUAUAACCCCUCAAGCUCAGCUUGGUGCUGGGGCCUGCUGCACUGGCAGCCCUUAAAAUCAGUGGCGGCGCCAUCUGGCUCUAAGCGUAGUAAUUCUUCUCGCUAUGGAGUCCUGGUGGAUGCUUGCCAUCAACCCCCAAUUUUUCUAUGGUUGACCUCGGAUCAGG